rnacentral:rRNA from 1 species
UGUGCCAGCCGCCGCGGUAAUACGUAGGUGGCAAGCGUUAUCCGGAAUUAUUGGGCGUAAAGCGCGCGCAGGCGGUCUCUUAAGUCUGAUGUGAAAGCCCACGGCUCAACCGUGGAGGGUCAUUGGAAACUGGGGAACUUGAGUGCAGAAGAGAAAAGCGGAAUUCCACGUGUAGCGGUGAAAUGCGUAGAGAUGUGGAGGGACACCAGUGGCGAAGGCGGCUUUUUGGUCUGUAACUGACGCUGAGGCGCGAAAGCGUGGGGAGCAAACAGGAUUAGAAACCCGGGUAGUCCA